rnacentral:snoRNA from 1 species
GUGUGCUGGUGAUGAUUGAAGAGCUAGCUAUGGUGAAUUCGAUGAAUGUGCUCACGUACCACUGGGUGCGCAGCACUGCUGAUAUGCAUUAUUCCGCAGUUCAUCUGAGGCAAGC